rnacentral:rRNA from 1 species
UACGGAGGGGGCAAGCGUUGUUCGGAAUUACUGGGCGUAAAGGGCGCGUAGGCGGCCCGCUAAGUCGAACGUGAAAUCCCCGAGUUCAACUCGGGAACUGCGUCCGAUACUGGCGGGCUUGAAUCCGGGAGAGGGAUGCGGAAUUCCAGGUGUAGCGGUGAAAUGACGCAGAUAUCAGGAGGAACACCGGUGGCGAAGGCGGGGUCUCUGGGCCGAUACUGACGCUGAGGAGCGAAAAGCGUGGGGGAGCAAACAGG